GGGUUGUGAGGUUAAGCGACUAAGCGUACACGGUGGAUGCCCUGGCAGUCAGAGGCGAUGAAGGACGUGCUAAUCUGCGAAAAGCGUCGGUAAGGUGAUAUGAACC
rnacentral:rRNA from 7 species